rnacentral:rRNA from 1 species
AGCUCCAAUAGCGUAUAUUUAAGUUGCUGCAGUUAAAAAGCUCGUAGUUGGAUUUCGGGUGGGAAUGGCCGGUCCGCCGUUUCGGUGUGCACUUGCUACGCCCACCUUGCUGCCGGGGACGUGCUCUUGAGUUCACGCUCGGGACACGGAGUCGGCGAGGUUACUUUGAGUAAAUUAGAGUGUUCAAAGCAGGCCUACGCUCUGAAUACAUUAGCAUGGAAUAACACGAUAGGACUCUGGCCUAUCUUGUUGGUCUGUAGGACCGGAGUAAUGAUUAAGAGGGACAGUCGGGGGCAUUCGUAUUUCAUUGUCAGAGGUGAAAUUCUUGGAUUUAUGAAAGACGAACUACUGCGAAAGCAUUUGCCAAGGAUGUUUUCA